rnacentral:rRNA from 1 species
UACGUAGGGUGCGAGCGUUGUCCGGAAUUACUGGGCGUAAAGAGCUCGUAGGUGGUUUGUCGCGUUCUUCGUGAAAACCGGGGGCUUAACCCUCGGCGUGCGGGCGAUACGGGCAGACUUGAGUACUGCAGAGGAGACUGGAAUUCCUGGUGUAGCGGUGGAAUGCGCAGAUAUCAGGAGGAACACCGGUGGCGAAGGCGGGUCUCUGGGCAGUAACUGACGCUGAGGAGCGAAAGCGUGGGGAGCAAACAGG